rnacentral:rRNA from 1 species
GAUGAACGCUGGCGGCGUGCCUAAUACAUGCAAGUCGAGCGAACAGACGAGGAGCUUGCUCCUCUGACGUUAGCGGCGGACGGGUGAGUAACACGUGGAUAACCUACCUAUAAGACUGGGAUAACUUCGGGAAACCGGAGCUAAUACCGGAUAAUAUAUUGAACCGCAUGGUUCAAUAGUGAAAGACGGUUUUGCUGUCACUUAUAGAUGGAUCCGCGCCGCAUUAGCUAGUUGGUAAGGUAACGGCUUACCAAGGCAACGAUGCGUAGCCGACCUGAGAGGGUGAUCGGCCACACUGGAACUGAGACACGGUCAAGACUACUACGGGAGGCAGCAGUAGGGAAUCUGCCGCAAUGGGCGAAAGCUUGACGGAGCAACGCCGAGUGAGUGAUGAAGGUCUUCGGAUCGUAAAACUCUGUUAUUAGGGAGGAACAAAUGUGUAAGUAAAUAUGCACGUAUUGACGGUACCUAAUCAGAAAGCCACGGCUAACUACGUG